AAGUCGUAACAAGGUUUCCGUAGGUGAACCUGCGGAAGGAUCAUUAACGAGUAACUGAACAGGUUGUAGCUGGCCUCUCGGGGCAUGUGCACGCCUGGCUCAUCCACUCUUCAACCUCUGUGCACUUGUUGUAGGUCGGUAGAAGAGCAAAGCAUCCUCUGAUGCUUUGCUUGGAAGCCUUCCUAUGUUUUACUACAAACGCUUCAGUUUAAGAAUGUCUACCUGCGUAUAACGCAUCUAUAUACAACUUUCAGCAACGGAUCUCUUGGCUCUC
rnacentral:misc_RNA from 1 species